rnacentral:piRNA from 1 species
UAAACAAUUUGUUUCCACGGUUACGUUA